rnacentral:rRNA from 1 species
UGAGUAACCUGCCCUUCACUCUGGGAUAACUCCGGGAAACCGGGGCUAAUACUGGAUAUGAGACCGAUUGGCAUCUUUACGGUCUGGAAAGUUUUUCGGCCAGGGAUGGGCUCGCGGCCUAUCAGCUUGUUGGUGGGGUAACGGCCCACCAAGGCGACGACGGGUAGCCGGCCUGAGAGGGCGACCGGCCACACUGGGACUGAGACACGGCCCAGACUCCGUACGGGAGGCA